rnacentral:rRNA from 1 species
GAUGAACGCUGGCGGCGUGCCUAAUACAUGCAAGUCGAGCGAACGGACGAGAAGCUUGCUUCUCUGAUGUUAGCGGCGGACGGGUGAGUAACACGUGGAUAACCUACCUAUAAGACUGGGAUAACUUCGGGAAACCGGAGCUAAUACCGGAUAAUAUUUUGAACCGCAUGGUUCAAAAGUAAAAGACGGUCUUGCUGUCACUUAUAGAUGGAUCCGCGCUGCAUUAGCUAGUUGGUAAGGUAACGGCUUACCAAGGCAACGAUGCAUAGCCGACCUGAGAGGGUGAUCGGCCACACUGGAACUGAGACACGGUCCAGACUCCUACGGGAGGCAGCAGUAGGGAAUCUUCCGCAAUGGGCGAAAGCCUGACGGAGCAACGCCGCGUGAGUGAUGAAGGUCUUCGGAUCGUAAAACUCUGUUAUUAGGGAAGAAUAUAUGUGUAAGUAACUGUGCACAUCUUGACGGUACCUAAUCAGAAAGCCACGGCUAACUACGUGCCAGCAGCCGCGGUAAUACGUAGGUGGCAAGCGUUAUCCGGAAUUAUUGGGCGUAAAGCGCGCGUAGGCGGUUUUUUAGUCUGAUGUGAAAGCCCACGGCUCAACCGUGGAGGGUCAUUGGAAACUGGAAAACUUGAGUGCAGAAGAGGAAAGUGGAAUUCCAUGUGUAGCGGUGAAAUGCGCAGAGAUAUGGAGGAACACCAGUGGCGAAGGCGACUUUCUGGUCUGUAACUGACGCCGAUGUGCGAAAGCGUGGGGAUCAAACAGGAUUAGAUACCCUGGUAGUCCACGCCGUAAACGAUGAGUGCUAAGUGUUAGGGGGUUUCCGCCCCUUAGUGCUGCAGCUAACGCAUUAAGCACUCCGCCUGGGGAGUACGACCGCAAGGUUGAAACUCAAAGGAAUUGACGGGGACCCGCACAAGCGGUGGAGCAUGUGGUUUAAUUCGAAGCAACGCGAAGAACCUUACCAAAUCUUGACAUCCUUUGACAACUCUAGAGAUAGAGCCUUCCCCUUCGGGGGACAAAGUGACAGGUGGUGCAUGGUUGUCGUCAGCUCGUGUCGUGAGAUGUUGGGUUAAGUCCCGCAACGAGCGCAACCCUUAAGCUUAGUUGCCAUCAUUAAGUUGGGCACUCUAAGUUGACUGCCGGUGACAAACCGGAGGAAGGUGGGGAUGACGUCAAAUCAUCAUGCCCCUUAUGAUUUGGACUACACACGUGCUACAAUGGACAAUACAAAGGGCAGCGAAACCGCGAGGUCAAGCAAAUCCCAUAAAGUUGUUCUCAGUUCGGAUUGUAGUCUGCAACUCGACUACAUGAAGCUGGAAUCGCUAGUAAUCGUAGAUCAGCAUGCUACGGUGAAUACGUUCCCGGGUCU